rnacentral:rRNA from 1 species
GAUGAACGCUGGCGGCGUGCCUAAUACAUGCAAGUCGAGCGAACGGACGAGAAGCUUGCUUCUCUGAUGUUAGCGGCGGAAGGGUGAGUAACACGUGGAUAACCUACCUAUAAGACCGGGAUAACUUCGGGAAACCGGAGCUAAUACCGGAUAAUAUUUUGAACCGAAUGGUUCAAAAGUGAAAGACGGUCUUGCUGUCACUUAUAGAUGGAUCCGCGCUGCAUUAGCUAGUUGGUAAGGUAACGGCUUACCAAGGCAACGAUGCAUAGCCGACCUGAGAGGGUGAUCGGCCACACUGUAACUGAGACACGGUCCAUACUCCUACGGGAGGCAGCAGUAGGGAAUCUUCCGCAAUGGGCGAAAUCCUGACGGAGCAACGCCGCGUGAGUGAUGAAGGUCUUCGGAUCGUAAAACUCUGUUAUUAGGGAAGAACAUAUGUGUAAGUAACUGUGCACAUCUUGACGGUACCUAAUCAGAAAGCCACGGCUAACUACGUG